rnacentral:lncRNA from 1 species
ACAGUCAUACUGUCCAUUCUGCUCAUCAUGCCAUCAGAGAGAAUCCUCACCUGAGCUGACACAGGCUCAGUCAUCCUACUCCAAAAUUCUUCUAUACAUCCCGUAGGUGUGGAUGAUGAAGGUCCAGCCUCUGCAUGUGCUGUGGGGUGCUCAGUAGGUAUCUCAAGCUCAGGGAUAGAAUCUCCAGGCUUUGGUGCAUCAGCCUCCGGUGCAUGUGCCCCUACACCUCCAUGCACCCAUUGACCGUUCAUC